CCUACGGGUGGCAGCAGUGAGGAAUAUUGGUCAAUGGCCGGAAGGCUGAACCAGCCAUGCCGCGUGAAGGUCAGUGCCCUAUGGGCGUUAAACUUCUUUUGUGCGGGAGCAAUAAUGGUCACGUGUGGCCAGACGAGAGUACCGUACGAAUAAGCAUCGGCUAACUCCGUGCCAGCAGGCGCGGUAAUACGGGGGAUGCAAGCGUUUUCCGGAUUUAUUGGGUUUUAAGGGUGCGUAGGCUGUGAGGUAAGUCAGCGGUGAAAUGCCCGCGGUCAACGGGGUGAAGUGCCAUUGAUACUGGCAUGCUGGAGUGCGGAUGAGGUGGGAGGAAUGUGUGGUGUAGCGGUGAAAUGCAUAGAUAUCACACAGAACACCGAUUGCGAAGGCAUCUCGCGAAUCCGCGAUUGACGCUGAUGCACGAAAGCGUGGGUAUCAAACAGGAUUAGAUACCCUGGUAGUC
rnacentral:rRNA from 1 species